GUAAGCCAAGUGCUGACCUGCCACGCGCCACAGGUAGGACUGGUGCCACUGAGGCAUACACGCGUGGCAGUGACUUAGGCUGGGCCAGCAUCUCACACAUCCUCCAGCCCAGGGCUAACUUGAAAAUUCACAGGUCCCCUUUAUACAGAGCCACCCCCAUCCACAAACACAGGCUCACAGAGACUCCAAACACAUAAAGGUAACGCUUAGGGCUCUGCCCAUGGGACAGGCCUUUUUGGUCUCUGCUGCCAGAUCGCAGCUGCCAGUCCAGCGAGGACCCUGUGAGUUGUGCUGCCAAGGCUUUUUAAGAACAAAGUGCGUCUAAGCCUGGGAAGUGCCCUCGCUCCGCACACGGGGUUGUUUUAAGGGUGGUUUUCGGCGUUGCCUUGGUACGGGAUGAAGUCUGUGAGUUUGGGGAGGGAGGGCUGCGGGAGCUGCACUCACCCUGUAGGGGACACUGGUCCUCCCGGAAAGGCCCCUCCUUGGGGUCCCCAUUGGGCAGCUCCUGCAGGAAGAACGGGGCAGUCAGUGGCCACAUAGCUCAGUGGGCAGGCGGGGGAGAUGGGCAGGAGCUCUGGGCGGCUGGACUGGAGCCUGACACUCGCCUCAGGCCUCCUGGGGCGUCUCAAUCUCUGGGUCCAGAAACACCAACCCUUCGUGCCCCACUCAGCCUCAGAUUUUAGGAAGCAAAACACACAGACAUUCCUGUGUUGUCAGGUUCCCCAAAGCAUUUCCAGGUAGAAGAUGCAGCUGCCUGGAAUGACCCCUUCAGUCAGUGCUGCCCUGGGGAUCCCCUUGGCCAGGGCCCCCAUGCUGGAUUACCCUAAAUGCAAGAGGAGACACACUGCCCCUUUGCUCUGGGGCCUGCUCCCAGCACUGCCCACUGGAGCCUGACACGAGGACUCCAGCCGCUGCCCGCAUGGCUGCCCAGGACCCCAACAUGCCUCUUAUAGGGCUGCCGGCCGAGACCAGUUACGGAAAAUGGGGAAAAACUUCAAACACAUCCCAGCGGUGUUUCAGCUGAGCCGAAGCUCACAUGGUUCUCAUGAAUAAUCUGCAGCCUUCAGGACACAGAGAAGGAGACAGACCUGUGGUCAGGGCAGGGGCCUUGCGCAGUGGUGGAGGUCCCUGGAAAGCCGUGGAAAGCCCACAAGGAGAUACAGCACAGAGCUCAGUCCCGUCCACCUGGACGGCCAGAGCCUGACCCUGGAGAUGACUUUGGUGCCGAGUUGGUGUCUCCGUGGGUGGACACAGGACCCCAGGGCUGCCCAGCUGGGACUGCCCUCACAGUCCCCACGGCUUCAUCCUUUCCUCCUGACCAGGGGUCAUGUGCCCCUCAUCUCUUCUGACCUCCUAUGGGGCUGUCUGCCCUGCCGGGGUCCCUGGGGUUCCUGGAGUCUGGCCCAGGCAGGAGGCUGAGCAGGGUCACCCUCGAGGGCACCUGGACCCCCCCAAGCGCCUCCUGCCACCGUGGUCACUGGCCAGGGUCCAAACAGGGUAUGGUGGAAGGUUCCAGGCUGGCCAGCUGCCACCCCAGAACUUGGGUGGGGAGAGAGGGACCAGACCCCCACCCACACAUGGGCACUAAGGUGGCGCUGCCGAGGCUGAAUAUUGUUGAGUGAGACCCAGGCCCCCAGCCCCCCUUGUGGCUGAGCCAAGGGCCCCCCAGAGCUGAGGUCUCCUGCUGGCCGCCCAGGGCGGUGCCAAGGCAGGGUGGGCAGCUCCCAGCGGGAGGCAGGAGAGCUUGCCCUCAUUUUAAUAAGAAACAAAACAGCUGAUUAUUAAAAAGUAGGCCUCCCUCCUGGGGGCUGCAGUCCCGACAUUCCGGGACUGGCUGCUGCAGCCUGAGGGGCCCCAUGAGCCCAGCCCGGCGAGGCCUUUGUACAUCCACACAGCAGGGAGGCACCGCUGUGAGGGAAAAGCUCUGUCCAGGUGGACGCUGGCAUAAAACCAAAUCAUCUCUAAAACCCAGGCUGUAGUUAUUUAUUUAUUUAUUUCAAAAUCAGAAUAAUGGGUGAGGCUGCAGUCGUGGGCUUCCAUGGAGUGCAGAGCAGUGCCCAGAGCCCCAGAGUUGCAGCCCCCAUGGGCACAGAAUCCUCGUGGGAUGGACCAGAUACUAGGAGCUCUACAGCCCCUCAGGUGGACUCGUGCAGGUGCUUGGAGGUGGCUGCCGACAGAAAUGGUGUCAUAAGGGCAGCCAAGGCCACCAAUGCCCAGGCUGAGGGAUGCAGGCACUGCCACUGCGGAGGGGGGCCAAGGCCACCAAUGCCCAGGCUGAGGGACGCAGGCA
rnacentral:lncRNA from 10 species